GAUGAACGCUGGCGGCGUGCCUAAUACAUGCAAGUCGAGCGAACAGACGAGGAGCUUGCUCCUCUGACGUUAGCGGCGGACGGGUGAGUAACACGUGUAUAACCUACCUAUAAGACUGGGAUAACUUCGGGAAACCGGAGCUAAUACCGGAUAAUAUAUUGAACCGCAUGGUUCAAUAGUGAAAUACGGUUUUGCUGUCACUUAUAGAUGGAUCCGCGCCGCAUUAGCUAGUUGGUAAGGUAACGGCUUACCAAGGCAACGAUGCGUAGCCGACCUGAGAGGGUGAUCGGCCACACUGGAACUGAGACACGGUCCAGACUCCUACGGGAGGCAGCAGUAGGGAAUCUUACGCAAUGGGCGAAAGCUUGACGGAGCAACGCCGAGUGAGUGAUGAAGGUCUUCGGAUCGUAAAACUCUGUUAUUAGGGAAGAACAAAUGUGGAAGUAAAUAUGCACGUCUUGACGGUACCUAAUCAGAAAGCAACGGCUAACUACGUG
rnacentral:rRNA from 1 species